GAUCCUGGCUCAGGAUGAACGCUAGCUACAGGCUUAACACAUGCAAGUCGAGGGGAAACGAUAUUGGAAGCUUGCUUCCGAUAGGCGUCGACCGGCGCACGGGUGAGUAACGCGUAUCCAACCUGCCCACCACUUGGGGAUAACCUUGCGAAAGUAAGACUAAUACCCAAUGAUAUCUCUAGAAGACAUCUGAAAGAGAUUAAAGAUUCAUCGGUGAUGAAUGGGG
rnacentral:rRNA from 1 species